GACGAACGCUGGCGGCGUGCCUAAUACAUGCAAGUUGAGCGCUGAAGGUUGGUACUUGUACCAACUGGAUGAGCAGCGAACGGGUGAGUAACGCGUGGGGAAUCUGCCUUUGAGCGGGGGACAACAUUUGGAAACGAAUGCUAAUACCGCAUAAAAACUUUAAACACAAGUUUUAAGUUUGAAAGAUGCAAUUGCAUCACUCAAAGAUGAUCCCGCGUUGUAUUAGCUAGUUGGUGAGGUAAAGGCUCACCAAGGCGAUGAUACAUAGCCGACCUGAGAGGGUGAUCGGCCACAUUGGGACGGAGACACGGCCCAAAAUACUACGGGAGGCAGCAGUAGGGAAUCUUCGGCAAUGGACGAAAGUCGGACCGAGCAACGCCGCGUGAGUGAAGAAGGUUGUCGGAUCGUAAAACUCUGUUGGUAGAGAAGAACGUUGGUGAGAGUGGAAAGCUCAUCAAGUGACGGUAACUACCCAGAAAGGGACGGCUAACUACGUG
rnacentral:rRNA from 1 species